rnacentral:rRNA from 1 species
AGAGCGAACGCUGGCGGCAGGCUUAACACAUGCAAGUCGAGCGGGCGUAGCAAUACGUCAGCGGCAGACGGGUGAGUAACGCGUGGGAACGUACCUUUUGGUUCGGAACAACACAGGGAAACUUGUGCUAAUACCGGAUAAGCCCUUACGGGGAAAGAUUUAUCGCCGAAAGAUCGGCCCGCGUCUGAUUAGCUAGUUGGUGAGGUAAUGGCUCACCAAGGCGACGAUCAGUAGCUGGUCUGAGAGGAUGAUCAGCCACAUUGGGACUGAGACACGGCCCAAACUCCUACGGGAGGCAGCAGUGGGGAUAUUGGACAAUGGGCGCAAGCCUGAUCCAGCCAUGCCGCGUGAGUGAUGAAGGCCCGUAGGGUUGUAAAGCUCUUUUGUGCGGGAAGAUAAUGACGGUACCGCAAGAAUAAGCCCGCUAACUUCGUGCCAGCAGCCGC